UUUUUAAAGAACUAAUUUUAAGUAAAAUUUGCUCAAUGUAUUCAUAAAUAGCCGCAGAAUAUUUACUGUGCUAAGGUAGCAUAAUCAUUAGUUUCCUAAUUAGGAACUAGAAUGAAAGAUUUUUCAUAAAAUUUCUUUUUUAACUUUUUUAAUAAAACUUUUAUUAAAAAUAAAAUAUUUUUAUAAAAAAAAAAGACGACAAGACCCUAUCGAACUUAACUUUAGUUAAGCUGGGGAAGCUAUUUAAACAAAAUUUUAAAUGAAUUAUUUAUAUAAUUGACCUAAUCAUAUUAAUUUAGUGACCAAGUUACCGUAGGGAUAACAGCGUAAUAAAUUUUUUAACUCUUAUAAAAAAAAAAGAUUACGACCUCGAUGUUGAAUUAAAAUUUCUCCCUAGCGCAAUAGCUAUAAAAGAAGGUCUGUUCGACCUUUAAAUUUUUACA
rnacentral:rRNA from 1 species